rnacentral:sRNA from 1 species
GACAGAAGACUGCGCCGCUGCUUUGGGAUUUGUAGCUGAGUUUUGUGUCGCGCCUUUUCUGACGAUGCGAACAACAUGGCGGCGGAAAGUGGUAGCGAUUUUCAGCAGAGACGUAGAAGGCGCCGGGACCCGGAGGAACCGGAAAAAACAGAACUCAGCGAAAGAGAGCUGGCAGUAGCAGUGGCGGUGUCCCAGGAGAACGAUGAGGAGAACGAAGAGCGCUGGGUUGGACCUUUACCUGUGGAGGCAACACUGGCCAAGAAGAGGAAAGUCUUAGAGUUUGAAAGAGUCUAUCUUGAUAAUCUCCCCAGUGCAUCCAUGUAUGAGCGCAGUUACAUGCAUAGAGAUGUUAUCACCCAUGUGGUAUGCACCAAGUAAGUCUAUCACAUCUUUUUUACUUUGUUCUGAGUUUAUUUAAAAAAAAAAAAAAAAGCUUCAAUUUUGAGGUAGAUUUAUAGAGAUAAUUUUAAGAUUUUAUAGAUUUUUAAUUUCUUAAGUUCUGAAAUAAAGGCCUACAUGUUCUUUCCUAUAUCGUACAAAUAAUGCAUUCUCUAAGAUAGAACCCCUGAGUUUAUAUGUAUGUCUUUGGAGAUAAAUGCCAAGAGGGGAAUGAACCAGGUAGUGUCUGAGCUUCCCUGAAGAAGAGGGUACAUUAGUUAAGAUAUGAGUAACUGGUACCUGGCCUCUUUGGCACUAGUGGAGAAAAUGUGGGCUAACAUACCCUAGGAAUAGCAAAGGACCUUCAAAACAGAUGAGUAGGUUCAUGGAGAAGGAUAAUAAUAGUACAAAUUGAGCACCCCAAAUAUAAAAUGCUCCAAAAUCCAAUAGUUUUUGAGUGCUG